rnacentral:antisense_RNA from 1 species
UAAAUGCAGGUACUUCACUUGCUGGGAUUUCGAUUUCAUCACCAGUUUGUGGGUUGCGGCCUUUACGUGCAGCACGGUGACGUACUUCAAAAGUACCAAAACCGAUUAAUUGUACCUUUUCACCCUUAGCAAGAUUGUCUUGAAUUGA